UAAGUUAAUUAAAUAUUAUUUUUUUAUUAUAUAAUGCUUCUAUUAAAGUUUUUAUUUACGUUUCUUACCAUAUCUUUCUUUCUUAUCUAUCUUGUGUUGAUCGAAGGAUUUCCAACAUUUGGCUGAAUAAAAAAUUCAGAAAGGGACAAGAUUUGGCAAAUGCUGUGUAAUAAUAAACGGGCAAACCUGGAUAAAUACGUCUGAAUUUUCUUCUUUAUUUAAAAAAAAAUACUCGCUGAUUGCUUAUUGCCUUCUUGGGUGGGUCAGGUGGCUGCUAAUGCUCUGACAGUGAGUAGGCAUCUGCCUUGUUUCUCUAUAUUCUUAAAACCGAGGCAUCUCCUCUGGCCCUUUAUUAAUUUGUUUGCGCUCUCACCGCGUUUCCACGUUUUUCACAUGCCUCACUUUCUGCUCGCUCUUUUCUUCUUUUCUAUGCUCGUUUUGCUUUAAGUUUUCGAC
rnacentral:lncRNA from 1 species